AGACAAAGUGCGCAGUUGGGUGCCAGACGGAUCCCCUGGUCAUGAACGGAUGCCGGGACCUACCAGAAGUAGCAAAGGUUUUACGUACCAGCCAAGCUGCAGGGAGAGCGCAAUGGUUCUCUUUUGAUAAGAUCUCACAAGUAACCUCCUCUGUUGUUGCCAGACUCUCCCUCGACUCCUAUGAAAAGGACACACCAUCAUGAGGCGUCUGAUAAUUCAUCUAUGGAGCCAGCACUUGGAGACUUACAAGGUGAUGUGAUUGAGUCCAGACCGAGAAACAAGCUUGAUACUUACGUCUCUAAAUGGAGAGGCACUUAACACAUCCACAAUGUGGGGCUGAAGAUGGAAAGGACUGUAGAUGCUUUUGCCAAGACUCCUGCCUCUGUUGUUUGAUGGGGAGACCAUUGAGUAGGUUUUAUUUGACCUGUUCAAACUUCAAAAUAGUAUAUUUAGUGUCAGCUAUUACCUAUCCUAACUGCCAUUGAUAAUAGAACUGUGUUUGUGUGUCAGAUAUUACCUAUCCUAA